rnacentral:tRNA from 1 species
GAAUUUAUGCAGUGAAACAGGACUUUGAUUGUUUGACUUUUAAUCAAGUUGUCCGGGGUUCGAAUCCCCGAUGCUUCA